AACGAACGUUAGCGGCGCGCCUAACACAUGCAAGUCGAACGCGAGAGGGGCAACUCUCUCGAGUGGCGCACGGGUGAGUAACACGUAGGUAAUCUCCCCCCGAGUGGUGGAUAACCUUCCGAAAGGAGGGCUAAUACAGCAUGAGACCACGGUUCCGAAAGGAAUUGAGGUCAAAGCGGAGGAUCGCAAGACUUCGCGCUUGGGGAUGAGCCUGCGGCCCAUCAGGUAGUUGGCGGGGUAAUAGCCCACCAAGCCUAAGACGGGUAGCUGGUCUGAGAGGAUGAUCAGCCACACUGGAACUGAGACACGGUCCAGACUCCUACGGGAGGCUG
rnacentral:rRNA from 1 species